AAAAGGAUGUAAAAAUCUUGGCCUUGAUGUUGAAAGGAUACCGAGAAAUUCCUCGGAGAAUCAUUACUGUGGAUCUUGCGGUCAUGGCUGUAAAAGCGGAGACAAAAAGGGGACUGAUAGUACCUGGCUUGUUGAUGCCGUAAACCAUGGUGCAGUCAUUUUAACGGGAUGCAAAGCCGAGAGAUUCAUAUUGGAGAAGAGCGAUAAUGGAAGCACAAGGACAAUGAAAUGCUCGGGAGUGAUAGCAAAAGCUUUGAAUAACGACAUCAGAAUGAAGUUUCAGAUCGAAACAAAAGCAACAAUCUCAGCAUGUGGGGCUCUAUUGACUCCCCCUUUGAUGAUCUCUAGUGGAUUGAAGAAUCAGCACAUUGGCAAGAAUCUUCACCUUCAUCCUGUUCUGAUGGCCUGGGGAUACUUUCCAGACUCAAACUUAGAGUUCAAGGGAAAAAACUAUGAGGGUGGAAUAAUCACAUCGGCCCACAAGGUGGUUUCAGGAGAUUCCGAAGUGAGAGCCCUCAUCGAAACUCCUGAAUUUUCACCUGCAAAAUUUUCUGUAUUUUGUCCUUGGUUGUCCGGAAUUGACUUUAAGCAAACCAUGUUGAAGUAUUCAAGAACCGCACACUUGAUAACAAUAAUCAGGGAUCGCGGAUCUGGAGAAGUUAAAGUAGAGGGAAGGAUAAGCCAUAAAUUAGAUCAAUUGGACAAAGAAAAUUUGAAAGCCGGAUUGAGGCAGGCAUUGAGGAUUUUAAUAGCAGCAGGAGCCGUUGAAGUUGGCACUCAUCGGAGUGAUGGGCAGCGACUCAAAUGUGAAGGAAUUACCAAAAAGGAAGUGGAGCAGUUUCUGGACACAGUUUAUGCAGCAGAAGGGCCAAAGUCACCAGUGGAGAACUGGAUGGUCUACGGUACUGCCCAUCAAAUGGGAAGCUGUAGGAUGGGGGUUAAUGAAAAAGAGGGCGCGGUUGACGAGAACGGGCAGAGUUGGGAAGCAGAAGGCCUAUAUGUUUGCGAUGCUAGUGUUCUUCCAAGCGCUGUUGGUGUCAAUCCUAUGAUCACAAUCCAGUCUACUGCUUACUGUCUCUCAAAGAGAAUAGCGGAAUCCUUGAGAGAACAGUCCUCAUAAGGUUUACUGAUUCUCUAUAUUGCUUUUCACUCAUGCUGGUGAGUGAAGGACUUCGGUUGUUUCAGUCUUCAUAUGUCCAAAUGGCAUCAGCAGUUAUAUUUGGAAAUUGUAAUGACAUAGAUUGAGUAAAAUUCGGGUAUUCUUCAGGUGAAAAAAACAAUAUCUAUUACUGUUAUGAGAUUUGAUACAUAGAUGUUUGUUGUCUUAGAAAUAAUGCAUUUUGGGAUUCUUUAAAUUUACGUAUGAAUCUCAUGAAUGAGACAAAUAGAGUUUAAGAAAGUUACCAUGCAAAAGAGUUUAUCGUCUACAAACAAAAUUCGGCGGAGUGUGCAAUUUGAUUCUGGGAAACUUGCCAUAUGUCAAGCUUAACAGAAGCCGAUAGUGAAAAUACCAGCCAGCUCAUGAAAAAUUUGGCUUACUCUCUCUAAUCUCUACACUCAGAGAUACAAUGACCGGACGUGGUACUGUUUACUCAGCUUGAGUGUCUGCAUUGCUGAUGGAAUCUGUAACAGACUAAAAUAAACCUCGGGCAGACACGCCACGUCAUCACAUCCAUUACUGAUUUAACAGAUUUCAUUCAAUACUGGGUUUUACUUCUUUAUUUGAUUUUCAGUCCUCAGAAUUUUUUUUUCAUUUUUAUUUAACUUUCUCUGUGGUGGGAAAAGUCGUUAUGGUAUCAAAUCCCAACUGUAUUGAACAGCCGCUAUCAACCAAGUUAUAAUGUAUUGUUAUUUUAAUCUCAUUUUCGCAUUAUUUCCAUAUGCAUACACUACAAAUAAUGCCACUUACACAAGUUCUCUUCUUUCUAUAUUAUUCCAUUGUUAAUAACAAGUGCAAUUCCAAAUUAGUGUUUUACAUGCAUCCAAUCCACCCACUGAGACUUUCAUUUUUUUUUUCUAUGUUUUCAACCUCUUCAACAAUCCAUCUACUUCAUCUCUGCAUGAUUUUCUUUUGCUCCAGUUUCUUCCAACCUGAGGGAUUUAUCGGCUCUGACUGCAUUCUGAAUACCACUAAUCAACAUCAUGUGCAAAAAAAUAUAAAACUAAACAAAGCUUUUCAUUAUUUGUUCAUUAUUACUUUAAUUACCAUAAGUUAAUCUCAUUGUAUUUUUCAUUGCUACAGUACGGUCCAUUAUAUGCCGCUUGCAACAAAUAACAUGUUCAACAUGUACAUUUGUUUUGUCCCUCACAUAUUACUUGGUUCUACAUAUUGUUAUUCCAUCUUACUAUUUUAUUGCUAUAUGCACCAACAUUUUCUUGUUUUCUUGGACAAUUAAUUGCAACAUUAACAGUUCCUGUCUAAUGACCAGCACUCCCGGUUUCCUUCAACUACCACAUGGCCACUUCACACCUGCAUGAUCUUGAUACUUUUCAUCUAACAGCCACUUUGCUAGAUGACAAAACAAUGUGUACGGUACCGAAGGGGCACGGUAGACAGAGCUUGAUUAGAAAUCCUUUUUUUCUUAUUUUCGGACAUUAAGCAUAUUUGUUUAAUGGUGUGUUUAUAUUCCGGAUUGAAAAAUUAAAAAUUUUAAAAUUAAAAUUAUUGACUAUAGUUACUUCACAAAAUGAAGAUAAGAAUGAGAAUCAUUUGAGUAAGACUCACAACAAAAUGGGAUUGGGGAAUUUCCAUUUGUGGGACCAACAUUUUUAAAUUUAAUUUUAUCUUUAAUUCAAAACACAAAAAAAAAACCACAAAAGUCAAAGCCAACAGCCAUUAUUGAUCAGAUUUAGCAGCCAUGAUCGACCCACGCCGAUCACCAAAUGCAGCAAAGCCAGUUGUUGCGCACACUGAUCGUUAGCCUCUUGUUAUUCGUCGCAACGAUGUUCGGACAAUGGUAGAAACAAGCACGAGUGCUGUAUAUAACCCGCAACUUUCAAUAACAAGAGCUUGUCGUCGGUUGUCCAGCCACCACUCACGGCUUAGUUAAAAUUGUUAUUUUUGUUUUUUUUAAUCAUUAUGUUAAUUUUUGUCAUUAUUAUUAUUAUUAUUAUUAUUAUUAUUAUUAUUAUUAUUAUUUUAUCAUCAUCAUUAUUAUUAUUGUUCUUUUUUUUUAUUCUCAUGGUUGUUAUUAUUAUUAUUAUUAUUAUUAUUAUUAUUAUUAUUAUUAUAUUAACAACUAAGGGUCUUCUAAUAAUUUGUAACAAUUCAUUCUAAUAUCAAAACACUGUAAACACAUCAAUACAAAAACUAUGCAUUUCUAUUUUUGCAGCUCAAAUAAAUAAUUUAUUUUUUUAUUUAUACAAUUUAAAUAAACAACUUAUUUUAAUUUUCAUUUUUUCUUCUUAUCCCAAUUUAUUCUUAUUCCAAUAGAUUCCGAGUGUGUAAGUUGAUUGAAAAUUAUACUUUGUGGAUAAAUACAUCGAUAAAAUUAUAUUUACGAAUUAAUAUACUUAUCUUAUAUAAUUUUAGGUGACGAACUUAUGUGGUAUGAAAUGAUCGGUUGGCUACAAGUAUCGACGGCUUUCACUUUUUAGUGAAUCCCUUCAUGGCACGUAAAGUGGGACAAGGGUUCUGAAUUUAUUGGGGCAGAAACACGAAAAGACUUGUAAAGAUUGUAAUAUAUAAGUGUUGUGAGGUAGAUGGAUUCUUUAACCAAAAGAAUGCUUGCGGAUUAAACAUCACUGUUUGCAGUUGCCAAAUUUAUCAUCCUCUACCUACGAACUACAGUUUAUGAUAGUGAUACGUAGCUACAGUUUAUCCUCUCUAUCUCUAUCGCAUUAACUUGAUUUAAAGAAUGUAAUACGAAAGUUGUAAUGUAACAUUUAUAUAGCAUUGACUCGUAUCAAUAUCCUCUUAAGGGAAGAAAAAAUAUUAAUAAACAAACAAACAAACAAACUUGUAUCAGUAACCUUUCAUUUCAAUCUCAGUGUUGGAUUCUAGCAUAUGACUAGUAGUUGGCACAAAUAAUUGUCAUUAAACUAAUAACAACGUUUCUAAUUAUAUAUUAUCAUCAAAGAUUCAAGCAAAGAGUGCAUGAGAGUACAAGGUAAUUAUAGCUAAUGGUGGAUACAAAUAUAUAGCUGUCAUUAAACUAAAUGUCGGUAUUUAUCAAAUUAAAUUAUAGCUACCUUAGUACUAAAUAUGAGCUUAAUUAGAUGAGAUGAGAUUUGAUGUGCCUUAAAAAGCUUUGCCCUCGAGCAAUGCCCCUCUAUAGUAUACCAAAGGUUCUACAUCACGAUCUAACGUGUAAUCAUCGGGAUCAAGCUACGGUGCAAUUGUGGCACCGUGCCACAGUUGCAUCUAGCCGUUGGAUGCAGUUGGAUUAGUGGGGUCUAUUGGCAUCCAACAGCUAGAUGCAACUGUGACACGGUACCACAGUUACACAUAAGAUUUUCCCCCAUCAUCGACUAAUAAUAUUAAGACACAUGGUAAUAAAAAUUUAAAAAAAAAUUAGAAUAAACAAUACAUAUUCCCCUCUUUUUAUUAUCCCUAUAAAAUUUUCAAAGUAGGAGACAAAACGUUAAAAUUGUCUCUCUCUCACUUAAUUAACUCUAUCUUAUUCUUUUUUUCUCUCUCACUCAAACCUUUCAUCUAUCAUCUUUUUUAAAAAGAUAUCGACUCUUUGACUGAUUAUGCAUAAUAUGUGAAUGAUUUUAGUAAUAUAGGUCCAGAAUUAAUUCUUUGUAAUUAUAGGAAGAGUUUUAACGGAUUUGCCAUGAAGCUAACAAAAGAGAAAGCUCAAAUAAUGGCUGUCGGUGGGGGGUGAACAUAACUUUUUUUUUUUUUGGGUGAAUUGUUUAAUUAAUUUAAUACCAAUUUUAAUUUGCCAUAAGAAUGAAAUAAAAGGGAAGUAAUACAACUUUUUGGUCAUUAUUUGAAGCUAUAUUAUCCUUGCUGUUGAUUUGGCUUCAAAACGAGCUGAAACUCUUAAAUGGUAUUUUUCCUUUGAUGAGUAGAUAGGCAAAGCAGCCAAUCUAUUUUAAUUAUUUAAAGCAAUGGGAGGCAUAGGAUCUGUGCGUAUUUCCAAAUCGAAGCUUCAUACUGCAACAUAAUGGAAUUUCAUGAGGUUUCCCCGCAAGUAGAAAGAGCAACAACAGUGGAAAGUGAUGAAGUGAUUGGAAUAUUUAACACUGGAAUUUGAGAAAGUUUUAAUUAAAAUGACAGCACUCAUGUUUCAAAAAUCAUCUUCUCUUCACCAUCAACAGAAAUCUUCUCCUUCGUAAUAACAAAAAUUAACUAUAAUCAUUUUCAUCAAUUUUUUUUUUAAUUCUUCAUCACGUUUCAAAAAUGGCAGCCGGUGGAACAAAGAUGAAAGAUGAAAUUUAGGUGAGAGAGAGAGAGAGAAUAAGACAGAGUUAAUUAAGGCUGAGAGACAAAAAUUUAAUGCUUCGUCUGUUAAAAUUUUUGGUGGGAUAAACAAAAGUGGAUCAUAUGUAAUUUUGGACCAGUCUAUGGUACAGAUUCUGGCUAAACUCCCAUAUUUAGAUAUUAUAGUGGCCAAAACUACAUUGCGUCGGAGGUUUGGUGCCCCACUCGUUUGUCUGUUAGUAAGGUCAGCGUUAGAUUUGAUCUGAUGGCUGCAGAAGAGACACAAAUAUAAAAGAGUAACUUGAGGCAAAGGUAACAAGCCGGUCACCUACAAAAAAUAAGUGUAUGAUAAAAUAACACAUGCAAUGAAUUUUGUUUUGUUUUUUUUUUCUAGAAGACACGUGUAAUGAACUUGUUGGAAGCAUAUAUGCAAGUAAUGGUUGGAAACAACUUGCUGGAACCGUGCAAGUAUUGGUUGGGCUAAGACUGACAUGAAAUUUCCCAAAUAUUGUUCGAAACAUUUGCAAAUAAUUAGUUCAAAGCAUCAAUAAAUGAUUAAAUGCUGGAAAAAAAUACAUAUUUUUUAUUUUAUUAUUAAGAAUACAUUUUUUUGAUAAAAAGAUAAAUUAUUAAUAGUACAUAUUAGUAACAAAUAUACCGAAAAAAAUUAUCCAUAUAUUUGAAAAAAAUUUGUGAACAACACAUUUUUUAGAAGUACACAUUAUACCAUAAAAAAUUGAGUUGUAUCAUGGACAGCCAUAAAAUAUGAACAAAGAUUACGAUCUAAACUCCACAUGCAUGUUUAAUUUGUAGAUUCCAUUUUUUCAGAAUGUGUUUCCCACCAUGGGGAUAACCAGGGUUAUUUAGGCAAAACACUACUGUAAUUUAUUAUCAUAGACAGGAAAAAGACAAUGGCAGAGAUCAAUGAUUUAACACACAAGAAUGAGUGAAUGACAACAGCAAGUGAGAACCAUGCACAAUCCUUUUUAAUAGAGAUCCUUUCUUAAAUCUUAAAUAAGAACAUUAAAUAAGCUUGAAAAAUAUUGGUAAUUGACCCAAUACACAUCCAUCUAACGGAAAACAGCGGACAAUUUGAUGCAUGUGUGGAGCACUUGAGGAAACAAAGCAUCCGCAGAAUGCCUAAAUUUGAAAAAAAAAAUUGCAUUUGCCGAAAGAACUUGGAGCGUUCAAAUACAAAGUGUCAAUUAAUUAAGGGCAUCCAUGUAGUUGUCUGUUUCACUUUCUACUUCAUCAAGCUGGUCUCCAUUGGAUAUAGAUUUUUUAAUGUCUUCAUCAGCAGGAAAGAUAUCCAUUUGAUCAACAUUUUCAAGGAUGGCAGUUCCUCUUUCCUGAGUAUCUGAGUCAAAAUUAGCUUAAAGCACCUCCUGAUACUCUCUAUCAAGCAAGAUAUCCCUUUGGUCAACACUUCUAAGGUAGGCAGUUCCUCUGUUCUGUGUAUCUGUGUCAAAACUUGCUGAAAGCAUCUCCAGAGGCUCGCCAUCAAGCAUGAUACCUUACAAGAUACAUCAACCAUCAAAUAUGCUCAACAUGCAAUACCAAAUUAAAUUACCCAUCUCCAGGGUUGGAUUUGUCUUCAAUCAGAUGAAUACUGGAGAGAAUAUAAUUGAAAGAAUGGCAUCAUCUACCAUGCAAGGUAAGGCUCCUUACAGGUGCUCAACAUGACACCACAAAAGAAAAUACAAUAUCAAAGACACAUCACCAACAUAUAUGCAAACAACCAAUUCUCACAGCAUGCAGUGCAACAACUCACAAAAUAUGAAAUUUAACAUCAUCUAAGCAUUUUCUCAAGCUUAUUUCUCAUUAAAGAACGUAACUGAAAGUAGUAAACAUAGAGACAUAUAACAGUUUUAUAAGUACAGACCACAAAGCAGAACUUUGUUCGAAUGAUAAUGAUCAUAAUCCACAUUAUAAACGCAGUGAAGUCAUCAAAUGAAAAUAAGAACACAGUACACAAUUACACAAAUAUUAGGCUUAAUUAAUUAUUUAGAAUAAAACACCACCUCACGCAGCUUCCUUAGCUGGAAUCUUCUCAUAUCCCAUCUUCUUAGGGCUCAGAUCAUCAACAUCAUUGAAUUCCUCAUACGAAUUGCGAGAAUCGUGAUGAUUAGCAAAGAGGCUCCACACCAAAUACAUGGUAACUGCAGUAAGCGAACCGCACCCAACGCCGAAAAGCAAAGUGACUGGUCCAGUCGCAUAGAGAGGAGUAGUCGUGCUCGAAGGGCAAAACGCGGCAUUUUGGCUCGUGGAUGAGGUGCUGGUCCCGAUCGUCGAUUGAAGGGAGAAUCGGACAGUCGAGGAAGAUUAAGGGACGGUGGGGGCUGAAUCAGCGAAUUUCGGUGAAGAUUGUGACGAAUCCAGCGAGGUUCUCGGAAUUAGGGUUAGGGUUAUGGGGAUUGCAAUGGAUCGAGUAAGAGGAAAUGAAGAGGGUUUUGCAUGGCCUUCCGGAGGCUGAAAUUGAGAGGACACCAUGAAUAUUGUGAGAGCUAAGAGGAGACGCUGAGUCGAUGAUGCCAUUGAUUCGUACCACACAACUUCGAUUGGAAAUGGAGCCUCUAAUAGCUUUAGCCGGUUACCCAUUUUUCAAGUGCUAAAUCUCAGCCAUUGACUGCCUUUCUUUACGAUCUAAAGGGUCAUUCGCAAAAGGACAAACGACUGGGGUACCAAACCCCUGAUGCAAUGUAGCUGGAUCCUAUUAUAGUCAAUGAUUUCAGUUUUUACGUUAAAUUAUAGGUUAGGAUUAUAUUGGAGUUGUUUUAAAAUAAAAUAUGAAUUAUAAUUAUACACAUAAAAUAAUAAAUAAUAAAAAAUUUAUUAUAAUUUUAAUUAUUUAAUAAUAAAAUAAUACUCUACCUUAAAAUGAUUUUAACAUAAUAAAUUCUAAAUUAUAAUACGAUACUUUUAAUGUACCGUAAAAUUUCUCCAUUUAAGGUCAUGUUGCAGCAGGCCAAGCAUCAACCCAACUCUUCAAUUUUUUAUUUAUGAAAAGUACUAAAACCAAUUUAAUAUGUCAAAAUAUCGCUAUGACUUUUCAUUGGUAUUAAUGCCAAAAUUAAUGCUAUUGAUAGUAGACUCAGAAAUCAAAGUCUUCCCAAACUUGCUUUUCGUAAUUAAAGAGCCACAGCGAGUCCAGGCCAUGGAGUUUUUCGUUAUUAGUCAUGGCGAGUUUUACAAUCAAUAAUUUUUAAUGCUCGGAACUACCUCUAAAUUUUUAUUAAAAAAAAAAAGAGAGAGAGAAAAGGAUUUAGUACUAAAACCUUUUAUAAGACUGUAAUCGCUAAUUGUUAAUUUUUUUAUAAAAAUAAAUAUAUUUAAUUAAAUAUUAAUUAUAUACCGCUAUAAAUGCACAUGUUGCACGAGAUAUAUGUUAAAAAAUUUAACGAUCCGACUUAAGUUCAAUAUUUAAAAGCUAAAUAAUUCAAUUAUUUCAUGGACAAUUAGACGUGUGAGAGCAUUAAUGAUGAGCGUCCUGACUUUAGCUCUCGGCCAAACGUUUUAUCAUGAAUCAUGAUUUUCUUCUAAUUUAAUUUUUAUUUGAGUAAAUUUUAUUAAUAUAAUUAAUGUUUAAUAAAUUAAAAAUAAUAAUUAAAUUCUAAUCAUUCACUAUCACUCAAAUACAAGUGGCACAAGAUUUAUAAAAAAUUAUAAGUACUCAUAUUAAGAAAAAAUCCUGAUCUUUUGUUACGAUGCUCAUAGUGUACAACGGUACAUUGCAUCAUUUAUAUAUUUAAAAUUUUUGCGGUAUAAUUGUGACCGUACUAGCUGAAGCGCCACUUCAGCUGAACCUUAGUUUCACGUAACUCCAUCAUUUGAAAUCAAUAGCAAACUUAGGGAAACAGUUUGUUUAAUCUCUAAAUUUUAAAUUAACUGUUGGUUUAAUUUUUAUAUUUUAAAAAUAUCUUAAAAUAUAAAUAUUAUUGAUUAUAUUAUAUUUUUAUCCUUACUUUUUCUUUACUUUUAAUAAUAAUAUUCUUACAAUAAUUUUUUUUACAAAUACCAAAUUAACUUUAAAAGUAAAGUAAUCGUAAGAAAUUUUUACAUUAAUUUUUAUCUUCUUUUCUAUUUAAUUUGAUUAAUUAAUAUAUUUUUCUCUUUAUUAAUACCCCAAGAUUAUUGCCAAGAUAUUUUUGUAAAAUAUAUAUUAAAAAAAAGGCACAAUUCCAAUCUGUGGGCUGUGGCAAUGAGGCUGCCAAAGUGCCAAGUCUCAAAUUUUGGUGCUGUACAUGUCGUCGGUUUUUGUUGGGUGUUAUAACAAAGCGGCAUUAAACUCCUUUUCCACGUAGUCAUCAAUUCAUUCAAUUCAUUUUCUGGUCAAACUUCAAAAAUAAUUUAGCCCCCCUGGUCCAUAUUUGCAUAGUAAUAUAUAUUAAAAAAAAUUAUGUUUGUUUACUCCUAAGAAAAUUAUUGGAAUCAUUUAAAUCAUUUACAUUAUAGUGCAGUCUAAAUUUUUAUAUUCUCGAUGGAUAAUUUUUUUCUGAAUUAUGUUUGUAAGGUGAUGAUACUACGAUUUAUAACCUAUCUUAGGACUCAAUUGGAGGGAAGUAAGCUGGUUUUGGUGGCAGUAAUGAUAUAUACUUGCAAAACUGGGUCAAGAACUAGCCAAAUUAGUUGUCCACAGGUCAAUGUCUCAGUCAUCACAAUCCCAUUUUUGGCAAACUAAUUAACACUGCAGUGACUUGUCCCAAUGUAUAGUGGUUACAUGUCAUAAUCUGAAUUAAAUUUUCGUUGUUCAAUCACAAUCAUCAAUUUUGUCUUUGCUUUAAUUAAAAAUUUAAACAGUAGAAAAUGAUUUUUUUUCCAUAUCAAUUUUUCGGUAAUCAAUCUAAUAGCGGAACCAAACCAUGCGGUGGGCUCGAAUAUUUAAACCAAAAAAUAAAUGACGAGACACAAGAUUCGGUUAAAGUGGAAGAUUAAAUUCACUCUAGCCCAAUCAAUAAUUACAAAUAUCAACUUGCAUGCCUCUAAAUUAAUUAUUGUAAGCCUCAACUACAUCGCAUACUACUAUAGUCUCAGCUUCCAUGGUAUGGAAUCAAGUAACGAAGGCAGCUUAUCUUUUGAGGAGUUAGUCAUUUAUAUGAGCAAGAGAUAAAAUGGUAUUUUUUCGUAUUUGUUGAGAAUCACCGCACAUAUCUGAUGUAAAACUAUAUUUACUGCAAGAAGAUAUAUGAGAUCUCUUGUGCGGCCUAUUAAAAGUGCUCGAAAGACUCUAUGAUAUUAUUAAAAUGUCUCACUAACCCACGUAAGAUAUCUACGAACACAAAAUCUUACCUGAUUGCUUGUGUAUCCUUAUGUAGGCUCACUUCAUUUUCCUUUCCAUUAAUUUGUCUCUCUUUUCGUUCAUUUGAGUUUGGUUUGUAAUAACACAAAUUUAUUUUGAUGAAAUUUGUUACUCAUAAUGAAUUUUCAUUGAGUUUAUUGAUAAUUAAUUUCAUGAUGUAGAAAAGAGGAGGAGAAUUUGAAAGAGGGGUUAGAGAAAAAAAUACAAAACAAAAAUGAUUGUUUAAUUAAUUCUAAAAGUUUACUAUUUUUUAUAUGUUAAAUAUAAGAGUUAAAGAGUUUUUUUUUCCUUUUUUUUGUAACACACUUAUAUUACAACAUGUCGGGGCAAAAAUAAACUAUUAUUGACCAUGAAUUAUGGCCAACAUUCCAUUUUAAUGGUGAAUUGGGAGGCCCAUUACUUCAAUUGAGAUUAAAAAAAAAAUCAUUGUAUAAACCAAUGCUUCCAUAAAUUCGAUCAUGGUUUUCAAUUAUAGUUUCCAUACCUGUUUAUUUGGGAUCAUCCCCGAAUUAAAGAAAAAACAAUCAAAAACGCGGCAAUUUAAAUUUAGAUUUCUCCAAUACCUUAUACCUUAUUUAAAAUAAAAAACACAAAUCGAAAAUAGAAAUAAAAGCGAGAAACUAAAAUAGCAUAGCAAUGCUGUAUCAGACUACUUGUCUUCUUGUAGUUGGAUCAAGUAACAAUUUGGGGGUGUAAAGUAGACUUAAAAUAACUUUGGGAAGGUUUAAAAAUAUUCAAUAACUUAUGUGGAUGAGCAAAAUUAACAAAAAGCCAAAUUCUGAAGUUUUCCCAAAACUGAAAACAGGAUGCGGGUUAUUAAAAAAAAUUCUAACCAAACCCACUAGAAACUAACCAAAAAUUAAACUAACAAAUAAGAUCAUUCAGGAGGCAUCUUUCCCCUUCUGAAAAUCUAGAAUUAACAUUGCUUGUGCAUCUUAUCAACAAUUUCUUGUACGGGUAAACAUUUAACAGCGCAGUUAGCAGCACCGUGGCACUCAGCAAUUGGUCCAUAGACCACAGAACUAAUGGUCUCUGGAAACUGCAAAACCCCAUGACAAAAGGCAUCAUUAAUGUAUAAAAAAAUGGGUAGAUAUGAAAAUUAUUGGUUAGCGGUAAAAGGACGCUUACCUGUACCCGUCUUUGGGGGCAAUCCAAAAUUGUGGCCUUUGCAUGCGGCACGUGUGCUCAUAAAUUAGAAGUGGAAAGCAAAAGCAGUGUUUCCAUAAGGUGAAAAAAAAAAAUUAAUGGAAGUGCUUGUAUACUAGAGACCCCAGUCUAUUUAUGGUAAAGAAGCAGACUCAAUAUAACAGACACCCAGCUGUUUCAUUUGGACUCCAAACAGAACCAAGUACAUUGCAGUUCAGCCGCCCUCUCUCAUAUCCAUUUUCCAAAAAAGGAACCAAUUAAGUACAGUAAAUUAAAUUAAAAAAAAAAUAUGGGGAGAAAUUGCCAUCCUUUGUUGAGUGGGAGGAGAAGCAAAGCGGAGAAACACAAUCAUGGCCUCAGUUCAGCUGAGUUGCUCUCAUUGGCUAGCGUAUGCGAGGUCUUUUUACCCACUUUGUCUUCUGUUUCUUCGGAGGGCAAAGAGGAUCGUCCUAGCCAGGCCCUGGAAUCUUUUUACAAGGCUUCUGGGGCACAGGCCCCAGUUCCUGAUAAGGUAAUUAAAUAUUGAACUUAAAAGAUUAGUUCGUUUUUAUUUUUUUAUUUUUAUCAUUUAGAAUAACGAGUCAAUGCUCGUUAAUCUGAAAUUGAUCAUAAACAUAGUAAUCCAAUAUCCAACUUAAAGAUUAGCUCUUUUUUUAAAAAAAAAAAUUAUUCCGAAUAACGAGUGAUUGCGCGUUAACCUGAAAUUGAUCAUUAACAUGCAUUGGUUUGUUUGACUGGCAGGUGGCGGAGAUUGUGGUGAAGAGGCUACUGACUGAAGGUGUGAUAUUGAUCAGAGUGGUGUUGCUGAUGCUGUCCACAAAGCUGGGGACGUUGAUGCUUUGUGGGUCUCUUUGUUUAAGUGAGAAAUGGCCUUAUAUUAACAACUUUUCAAGCAUGUCAUUGGAGAAGAGGGAAAAGGUUUUGCAGAAAUGGUUCAAGAACUGGAUUUUUACUCCUGUUAGAAUUGCAUUUUUUAUCCUCAAAAUUUUUUGCCUCUUCGUUUUCUUCUCUCAGGUAAUUCCUUUCACUUGGAAAAUUUCUUUGCAUUUUUUUGUUAUUUUUGACAUAUACAUCUACAUGAGUACUUUAAAAAAAAAAAAAAAAAAAAAAAAAAACUUGUUGCAAUUCUACAGAACCAUUUCAAUAUGAAAUUUGUGAGAUUUUAGAUACAUAUGCUUGCAGUUUAGCUUAGAUGUCAACCGAGCAUUGACUUAAAAAUCUAUUAUCACAAAUAAUUUGAGAGAAAUAUAUUUUUAAUCCAUAUUUAUAAUAAGGUGAUCUUUAAGUUAUAUUUAAUAUAACUUACAAUCACUAAAAUAAUACAAAAAUAAGUAAUAAGCAAGUGGGUCAAGUGGGGCUAAUUUUAUAUUAAGGCAAACCCUAUCUUACAUGCAUGUAAGAUACAUCCCCCUCACAUGAAUAGUACAUGUGUGGGACUCACACAUGUACUAUUCAUGUGAGAGGAAUGUAUCUUACAUGCAUGUAAGAUAGAAGGACCCUUAUAUUAAUUGUAACUUAAGGAGAGCCUUAUAAUAAAGGAAAUGAGAAGAACACGAGCAAUCAAUAAAUGAAUUAGGUCUUAUAAUUAGAAUCUUGACAUUAUGAGUGCGUUUGAAAUUGAGAUUGGGCAGUUGUGUCUUAAAAGUUAUCGUACUAAAACGUUUGAUAAACACUAACUGAUGUACCUUACAGCUAUGUUGAGAUGAUUUUAACUUAUAUGAUGAAAAAUCUAUUAUAUCUUUAAUAAUUUUAUCAAAAUUAUUAUUUAAAAUUUAUAUUUACUACAUAUUAUUAAUUUUUAUUUCGUCGUUGCAGUUUUUUUCUACAGCAUUUGUAGCUUAAAAGUUAUAGAUUCAGCUACAGCACCUCAAUCUCAAACAGAACCUAUAAACCAUAAUUUAAUAUUUAAUUGCUGCGCUAUAGUGUCAGAUUCACAUUUUCUAAAAAAAUGUGGUAUAUAUUAUAAAUUUUAAAAAUAUGUAUAAUUUUUGUGAUUAAUAUGUUUCAUUUAUUUUCUUGCCUAGGAAAGUGCCGUUUAGUAUUUUACAUAGUUUAAUAUUUAAUUGCUGCUCUAUAGUGUUAGAUUCAUAUUUUUCUAAAAAAAUGUGGUAUAUAUUGUAAAUUUAAAAAAUAUGUAAAAUUUUUGUCAUUAAUAUGUUUCAUUUAUUUUCCUGCCUAGGAAAGUGCCGUUUAAUAUUUUACAUAUGAAAUAUUGAAAAUUAUAACAUUACUAUACCCACAAAUUAUUAUUCUAAAAUUUAACUUCAAACAUGCCGCAUCCGGACGAAAGGACAUAUUAUUUAGGAGUGAGUUUUGGAUUUUUUUUAUGAACUGUCGUAAAUUGUUAGCUUUAGCAAAUGUUUUUGAAAAUAAAUGGGUAGGUUAAAGACUUGAGAAUAUAAAAAAUGGCAAGUAAUAAAUAUGAUUUUAUCAUUUAAAAAAUUUCAAUAAAUUUAUAAAUCAACAAUUUUUUCGUAUUUAUUAUAAAGAUCACUUUCAUAAUUCAACACAGUCCAAAUUAAGGGAAAAAUUAAACAGCCAGCCAUAACUUAGAAAUUUCCAAUCUCUUUGAUUCUGAGUUUUGAGUACUAUUUUAGGAUUCCUGAAAAAAUGGAAAAAUCAUUUUUAAUAAAAGAAUUCAUCCACGACCAAAAAGACUCUAUCAUGGUUCAUUGGUCACAUAUUAAUCACACGCAUUAAAGCAGUUGUUGUAGAUUGGAUAAAAAAAUUUGUGCCGACAAGCAAAUAUAUAUAUAUAAAAAAGGAAAACAGAGAACAUAUUGAAGGAUAAAACAUCGUUAUCAUUUUUAAUUAGGUAGUUGAAUUAAUUUAUAUGUAGGAACCUUAAAUGAAUACUCAAACAAAUGAAUUGGAUAGAUACUAUCUUUGUCAUUGAAAUGGAAUGAACAGAUAGAGAGAAAUAAUAAAUUUACAACAUUUAAGGGUGAGGGGUGUCGGAAUCCCACAUAGCUUGAUUAGAACUCAAGAAUUUCGUUUAAGGACUUUUGAGUGGACUCAAAACAAAAGCUAUCUAAUUAAGAUAAUAUAUGUUACACCUAAAAGCAGCCUAUUAUUACAAGAAGCUAUGAUGUUGAAAAAUUAAUAUUGUUUUGGUGCUUGCUUUGACCAAAAGAUUUGGGAUUAUAGAUUUUUUCUUUUAAUUCAAUUACAAUAGUUUUUGGGUACAAAAGUCAAGAAUUAAGGUAGAGAAAGAGAAAGAUCUUUAUUUGAUUUAUAUUUAUGAGAGGUGAUCAAGUGCGCACAAUCGCGCUCUAUAUCAAGUUCCUUUAUAUUUAUUUCUUUGGUACAAUUUAAUUAGAGAGGCAAGAAGCUAAGCGAGUCAUAAAAGAAGCUUACUCUUAAUACAUGACAUACCAAGCAAUAAGAACACAACCGGUAUACAACUUAAAGUACAUUUGCAAUUCACAAAUUCGCCGUUCCUUCUGCAGCUUGAUGAAAAUGGAAAAAAUCCAGCAUGGGAAGCGAUUGAUUAUCAUGCAGAAAAUGAUGAGGAUGUGUCCGAGGUUCAACAGGAGAGGCCUCUAGAGAAGGGAAUAGUUGAAACAAUGUAUGAAACCGGCUCAACCAUUGUACAGUCACUCACUCAGAAAGGCCUCCAAGUUACGAAAGAUUCUAAACAGAAUGUGUACAAAAUCAAAUGUGAUGUUGUAAUUGUUGGCUCUGGUUGUGGAGGUGGUGUUGCAGCAGCUGUUCUGGCUAGUGCUGGGCAGAAGGUUGUUGUAAUUGAGAAAGGGAACUACUUCACUCCUAAGGAUUAUUCUCUCCUUGAAGGUCCUUCAUUUGAGCAACUAUAUGAAUCCGGAGGGAUCCUUCCAACUACUGAUGCGAGCAUGACGAUUCUGGCAGGAUCAACUGUUGGUGGCGGCUCAGCUGUCAACUGGUCGGCCUGCAUCAAGACACCCAAGUCCUUGCUUCAGGAAUGGGCAGGGCAAUAUAAGCUCCCACUCUUUGGUAGCCCUGACUAUCUUUCGGCAAUGGAUAUCGUGUGGGAGAGGAUUGGUGUUACGGAGAAUUGUGUACAAGAGGGGUUCCAGAAUCAAGUACUUCGAAAAGGAUGUAAAAAUCUUGGCCUUGAUGUUGAAAGGAUACCGAGAAAUUCCUCAGAGAAUCAUUACUGUGGAUCUUGCGGUCAUGGCUGUAAAAGCGGAGACAAAAAGGGGACUGAUAGUACCUGGCUUGUUGAUGCCGUAAACCAUGGAGCAGUCAUUUUAACGGGAUGCAAAGCCGAGAGAUUCAUAUUGGAGAAGAGCGAUAAUGGAAGCACAAGGACAAUGAAAUGCUUGGGAGUGAUAGC
rnacentral:lncRNA from 1 species